rnacentral:rRNA from 1 species
AUUGAACGCUGGCGGCAUGCUUUACACAUGCAAGUCGAACGGCAGCGCGGGGGCAACCCUGGCGGCGAGUGGCGAACGGGUGAGUAAUGCAUCGGAACGUAUCCUGUAAUGGGGGAUAACGUAGCGAAAGUUACGCUAAUACCGCAUACGCUCGAGAGAGGAAAGUGGGGGAUCGCAAGACCUCACGUUAUAGGAGCGGCCGAUGUCCGAUUAGCUAGUUGGUGGGGUAAAGGCCUACCAAGGCGACGAUCGGUAGCUGGUCUGAGAGGAUGAUCAGCCACACUGGGACUGAGACACGGCCCAGACUCCUACGGGAGGCAGCAGUGGGGAAUUUUGGACAAUGGGCGAAAGCCUGAUCCAGCCAUGCCGCGUGCGGGAAGAA